rnacentral:rRNA from 1 species
CAUGCAAGUCGAACGCAGUAGCAAUACUGAGUGGCAAACGGGUGAGUAUAAUGUGGGAAUCUGCCUUUUGGUUUGGGAUAACACGGGGAAACUUGUGCUAAUACCGAAUAAGCCCUUACGGGGAAAGUUUUAAUGCCGAAAGAUGAGCCCGCACUUGAUUAGCUAGUUGGUAAGGUAAAAGCUUACCAAGGCAACGAUCAAUAGCUGUUCUUAGAGGAAGACCAGCCACAUUGGGACUGAGACACGGCCCAGACUCCUACGGGAGGCAGCAGUGGGGAAUCUUGCACAAUGGGGGAAACCCUGAUGCAGCGAUGCCGCGUGAGUGAAGAAGGCCUUUGGGUUGUAAAACUCUUUCGUCGGGGAAGAAAAUGACUGUACCCGAAUAAGAAGGUCCGGCUAACUUCGUGCCAGCAGCCGCGGUAAUACGAAGGGACCUAGCGUAGUUCGGAAUUACUGGGCUUAAAGAGCUCGUAGGUGGUUAAAAAAGUUGAUGGUGAAAUCCCAAGGCUCAACCUUGGAACUGCCAUCAAAACUUUUUAGCUAGAGUGUGAUAGAGGUAAGUGGAAUUUCUAGUGUAGAGGUGAAAUUCGUAGAUAUUAGAAAGAACACCAAAUGCGAAGGCAACUUACUGGGUCACUACUGACACUGAGGAGCGAAAGCAUGGGUAGCGAAGAGGAUUAGAUACCCUCGUAGUCCAUGCCGUAAACGAUGUGUGCUAGACGUUGGAAAUAUAUUUUUCAGUGUCGCAGCGAAAGCAUUAAGCACACCGCCUGGGGAGUACGACCGCAAGGUUAAAACUCAAAU